rnacentral:rRNA from 1 species
UACAGAGGUCUCAAGCGUUGUUCGGAUUCAUUGGGCGUAAAGGGUGCGUAGGUGGCGCUGUAAGUCGGGUGUGAAAUUUCGGAGCUUAACUCCGAAACUGCAUUCGAUACUGCGGUGCUUGAGGACUGGAGAGGAGACUGGAAUUCAUGGUGUAGCAGUGAAAUGCGUAGAGAUCAUGAGGAGACCAGUGGCGAAGGCGGGUCUCUGGACAGUUCCUGACACUGAGGCACGAAGGCCAGGGGAGCAAACGGG